rnacentral:lncRNA from 1 species
UUUGGCUAGAAAUUCGAUUUAUCAUGACAGGAGCUGAUUUUUUUAUCUUGUUUCAUUGAUUAUCAAAUGUAUAAAAUGUGAUAUUGCUUGUGCAUUACAUGCUUUCUCUGGUGGAUGUACCAAGAUUUUUUUUAUGGUACAACUUUUGCAUUGUUGCGGUGCAAUUGUACAGCCCUGUGAGAUGCCACCCCAUGGUUUGACUUGGACAAUGCUGUUCAGUGGUUCAUUUGUUGGGUGUAAAAUAGAAUGGCUCAGUUAGUGAUAGGUGAUCCAUCGCAUCACAAUUCACAACAAGCAGGACAUAUAGAUAUAAUUUUCCUGCUACCUCAGUUUUCCCUUUGUGAUGGCUGCUACCUCAGUUUUCCCUUUGUGAUGGGAUCUACAUCCAUAAACAUCAGCAGCACACUGCUCUGCCACCUUCUCGGAUGUUCAGCAGUGCCACAAUCGCUGCAUAGCAGGCUCGUUGGACUGCCAACUACUGAGAAGAGGACCGACAAUACUCAUAAUCUCCAUAAUUACAUUCUAUUAAUCUGAGCCGCCAGACUCAGCUGUUUCUCCAAGCCAUUAGCAGUCAUCAAGUGUAGUUGCAGUCCCCAUACUGAGCAAAUCACUGUUCCUCCAGCAGUCCGCUAGUCCCAAAACUGCUUAGCCUGGUUCUUUACUUAUGCGGGUCAUUUGCACAAAAUCUAUUUGAUGUGUUGAACCUAUAUGCAAUUUUGUAUAGUUAUGUUUUCUGUAUUGCUAGUUUAUUUUAAAAUUAUUCAAUGUAGUCCGAGUGCCUCAGUCUAAAUAUUUCAAUCAUCUGCUAAAUUUUGAGAUAUAUGCAGGAG